rnacentral:misc_RNA from 1 species
GAAAUGCGAUAAGUAGUGUGAAUUGCAGAAUUCAGUGAAUCAUCGAAUCUUUGAACGCACAUUGCGCCCCUCGGUAUUCCGAAGGGCAUGCCUGUUCGAGCGUCAUCUACACCCUCAAGCUCUGCUUGGUGUUGGGCGUCUGUCCCGCCUCCCGCGCGCGGACUCGCCCCAAAUGCAUUGGCGGCGGACCUUGCCUCCCUCCCGCGCAGCACAUUGCGCUUCUCGAGGCGUCGCGGCCCGCGUCCAGCAAGCAACCGUCUACCCGUCUUUGACCUCGGAUCAGGCAGGGAUACCCGCUGAACUUAAGCA